AGGGCGUCAUAGAGGGUGAGAACCCCGUAAACGGCCUUUGUCUUAUGCUCAUGUGAAUCUCCUUCAACGAGUCGAGUUGUUUGGGAAUGCAGCUCUAAAUUGGUGGUAAAUUCCAUCUAAAGCUAAAUACUGGCAAGAGACCGAUAGCGCACAAGUAGAGUGAUCGAAAGAUGAAAAGAACUCUGAACAGAGAGUUAAAUAGUACGUGAAAUUGUUGAAAGGGAAGCACUUGCUACCAGACGCACUUGCAGUCGAUCAACCUCCAUUUUUGGUGGUGCACUCGGUUGUAGGUGGGCCAGCAUCAGUCAUGGCGGUGGGAAAAAGACCUUGGGAAUGUGGCUUCCUUUGGGGAGUGUUAUAGCCCUUGGUGUAAUGCCGCCUGCUGUGACUGAGGACCGCGCUUCGGUGAGGAUGCUGGCAUAAUGGUUGUAAGUGACCCGUCUUGAAACACGGACCAAGGAGUCUAACAUCUAUGCGAGUGUUUGGGUGUUAAAACCCUUACGCGAAAUGAAAGUGAAUGGAGGUGGGAUCCGUUUGGUGCACCAUCGACCGAUCCUGAUGUUUUCGGAUGGAUUUGAGUAGGAGCAUAGCUGUUGGGACCCGAAAGAUGGUGAACUAUGCCUGAAUAGGGUGAAGCCAGAGGAAACUCUGGUGGAGGCUCGCAGCGGUUCUGACGUGCAAAUCGAUCGUCAAAUUUGGGUAUAGGGGCGAAAGACUAAUCGAACCAUCUAGUAGC
rnacentral:rRNA from 2 species